AUGUCCAGCAAGGAGUCCGGCCCAGACAAGAUCAAGGCGAUCCUCAUUUUCAACAACCACGGGAAGUCGCGGCUUUCCAAGUUCUACCAGCCCUACAUAUUUGUGGAAACAUUAGACAAAUGUUUUGAAAAUGUCUGUGAACUGGAUUUAAUUUUCCAUGUAGACAAGGUUCACAAUAUUCUUGUAGAAAUGGCGAUGGGGGAAUGGUAUUGGAGACCAAUAUGAAUGAAAUUAUUACACAAAUUGAUGCACAAAAUAAACUAGGGAAAUCUGAGGCUGGCUUAGCAGGAGCUCCAGCCUGUGCUGUAUCCACUGUAAAGAAUAUGAAUCUUCCCGAGAUCCCGAGAAAUAUUAACAUUGGUGACAUUAGUAUAAAAGUGUCAAACUUGCCCUCUUUUAAAUAAAAUAUUAAAAAGGCCACUCCCAGGUAAAAACCAGGGGGAUAAGUCAUCUAAGUUUACCAUACAGUUGUUUACCAAAAAUAGAGGAGGAAAGUCUUAACUUUUUGCUCUUAGAUUUAUGUCAAGGUACUGUAUAGAAGUUGUGUAAAAUCAGUGUGAAAGUUCAAUGUUGCUUUUCUUGCUCAGUGAUUUUAAAGAAAUUGUAUACUUCCAGUGUGAUUUUUUUUUGGUUGUUGUUUUCUAAGCUGCAUUCCUAUGCCCACCUAAGGCAUGCCUCUAUGUAUUGGCUAUCACAGUAUUUCAAAAGUGAGGUAUUUCUUUAAUUAUGUACAACCCAAAAUGUUGGUGCUUUGUAUGGAUCACAAGUGCAACAUUCCUUAAUUCUUUCUGCUCCUUGUCACAAUUGUUAAAGAACCAAGUAUGUAUUGCAUGAAAACAUGAUGACCUUUUCCUCUUAGUUUAAAUAAAUCCAAGGUAACUGAAUUUCUAAAGCACCUUUCUGUUUGCCUGAUAUCUACCUUAGCAAUAAUUUUUUUUACGACCCUUUGACUCAAAGUAAAUAAAGGUAUAUUUUA